rnacentral:rRNA from 1 species
AGGCGACGAUCCCUAGCUGGUCUGAGAGGAUGACCAGCCACACUGGAACUGAGACACGGUCCAGACUCCUACGGGAGGCAGCAGUGGGGAAUAUUGCACAAUGGGCGCAAGCCUGAUGCAGCCAUGCCGCGUGUAUGAAGAAGGCCUUCGGGUUGUAAAGUACUCUCAGCGGGGAGGAAGGUGUUGUGGCUAAUAACCGCAGCAAUUGACGUUACCCGCAGAAGAAGCACCGGCUAACUCCGUGCCAGCAGCCGCGGUAAUACGGAGGGUGCAAGCGUUAAUCGGAAUUACUGGGCGUAAAGCGCACGCAGGCGGUUUGUUAAGUCAGAUGUGAAUCCCCGGGCUCAACCUGGGAACUGCAUUUGAAACUGGCAAGCUAGAGUCUCGUAGAGGGGGGUAGAAUUCCAGGUGUAGCGGUGAAAUGCGUAGAGAUCUGGAGGAAUACCGGUGGCGAAGGCGGCCCCCUGGACGAAGACUGACGCUCAGGUGCGAAAGCGU